ensembl:lncRNA
AUGAAGAUCAAUGCUCCUUUAGAACUUUUGAUACCAGUCAUGGGUGUCUCGUCUUCGACAGCAGUCGUGGUUGUGGUCACGAUUGUCUCUUCUCUGACAGCAGUCACGGUGGUCUCUUCUCCAACCGCAGGCGCGGUUGUGGUCACGGUUGUCUCUUCUCCAAGCGCUGGCGUGGUUGUGGUCACGGUUGUCUCUUCUCCAACCGCAGGCGUGGUUGUGGUCAUGGUUGUCUCUUCUCCAAUUGGAGUAGUGGGUGCAGCUGUGCCACCUCCGGCUGCAGUCAUGACACCUCCGGCGACAACACCUCCGGCUGCAGCUGUGUCACCUCCGGCUGCAGUCAUGACACCUCCGGCGACACCACCUCCGGCUGCAGUCAUGACACCUCUGGCGACACCACCUCCGGCUGCAGCUGUGCCACCUCCGGCCACACCACCUCCGGCUGCAGUCGCGCCACCUCCGGCUGCAGUCAUGACACCUCCGGCGACACCACCUCCAACCACAACACCUCCAGCCACAACACCUCUGCCUGCACCACUUUGAAACUUAGUUGCAUCAUCUUUGACUUCAGCCAGAUCAUCUUUGACCUCAGUCAUGCAUUCUUCAAUCUCAGGCAUGUCUGACAGUUCUUUGAUCGUGGUCAUGGAUGCUGAUUUUAAUCCUUGAGGUGCAUCAAUUUUUUUGAGUGUUCUUUCAGUUUCCAAAUUUUCCUGUGGAAACUGUUUAGCAAUAUAUUUUGUAACUGCUUCAUAAUGAACUGGGUUGCCAUUGUUGUCAAGGGCAGCCACAACAUAAUCACAUCUUUGACAAACUUUUGGAACUCCAUUUUCUAAUUUGACAUCAUAAAUAUACAUUUUGUUCUUGCUUCUGUAUAAAAUGUUAUUAUGAGCUUUAAUUUCAUAUUCAGGGUCACGUGUGAAUAUUUUACUGAUAUCAUUGAAAUCUUGUCUUGCCAUGAAGGACUGUGUCUCUGGUUCGUGAAACUUUGUAUUCUUGUUCACACAUUUUUUUCUGUAAUUCAUUGAAUCAUCCCACUUCUCCUUCCAAUACUCUGUGUCACAUGGAGAUUUAGGACUAUCCACUAGAUGUUUUUUAUUAAAAUCACGAGCUCUGGGAGCACGUUUGUAUCUAUUGUGCAAUUUUGGACAAAUACACAAAAAUUCUUUCUGAGUAUUGAUUGAAUUUAUAUCAAUGUUUGAAUAGAAUCCUCCAGGAAAAUGUUGGCUUUCUUUGUCUUGUUGAAACACCAUGAUACUGCAGGUUUUUUCCACCUAAAAAGAAAAAGAUUUACAACCAUGGUCAAAUGAUGUAAAGAUAUAUGACAGUGAUACUUCAGAGGUAACUCCCUUGAAAAAGUUCACCACCCUUGAUAAUUUUGUUGAUGUGAUGCAAUUGCUUAAUUUUUGGGUGUUCUAUGCAAGCAUUGCUAUCUUGAUCUUGAUGCUAACACUAUCUUGUAACCAGUGCAGAGAGAUAAACAAAGGAGUAAGAUGGGCUCAUUGAAGACCAGUAAUGCUGCUGCAUUUUGGAUCAUUUGUAUAGGUUUGAUUGCACAUGAUGGAAUUUCAAUGACACAUCCAGUGAAAUGCCUGCACUCAAUUGUCAAAUCAUCAUAGGUAAGUCGCAAUGGCAACACACUAGCAUUAGUUUAAUUAGUUUAUUUGUUUGUAGGAGUAAUGCACAUUAAUAAACAUGGCUGUAAAUGUAACA